UACGUAGGGUGCAAGCGUUGUCCGGAAUUACUGGGCGUAAAGAGCUCGUAGGUGGUUUGUCGCGUCGUCUGUGAAAUUCCGGGGCUUAACCUCGGGCGUGCAGGCGAUACGGGCAAUACUUGAGUGCUGUAGGGGAGACUGGAAUUCCUGGUGUAGCGGUGAAAUGCGCAGAUAUCAGGAGGAACACCAAUGGCGAAGGCAGGUCUCUGGGCAGUUACUGACGCUGAGGAGCGAAAGCAUGGGUAGCGAACAGGAUUAGA
rnacentral:rRNA from 1 species